CCUACGGGAGGCAGCAGUAGGGAAUCUUUCACAAUGGGCGAAAGCCUGAUGGAGCAACGCCGCGUGCAGGAUGAAGGCCUUCGGGUUGUAAACUGCUUUUAUAAGCGAGAAAUAUGAUGGUAACUUAUGAAUAAGGAUCGGCUAACUACGUGCCAGCAGCCGCGGUCAUACGUAGGAUCCGAGCAUUAUCCGGAGUGACUGGGUGUAAAGAGUUGCGUAGGUGGCAUAAUAAGUAGCUAGUGGAAUCUGGUGGCUUAACCAUUCAGACUAUUAGCUAAACUAUUAAGCUCGAGACCGUUAGGGGUAACUGGAAUUGCUAGUGUAGGAGUGAAAUCCGUAGAUAUUAGAAGGAACACCAAUAGCGUAGGCAGGUUGCUGGGACGGUUCUGACACUAAGGCACGAAAGCGUAGGGAGCAAACGGGAUUAGAUACCCCGGUAGUC
rnacentral:rRNA from 1 species